CCAUUUUCUCGAUGUCCUCUGGAGGAACCAUCUCAUCUGUCGGGACACAACAUGAUCAAUAACCAGGGUGAAUCAGCAGCACCAGCUGACAUAAAACCAGAAUAGUUAAGUUGUGACCUGUCAGUAAACAUCUGAACAGCUGCAGCUUCACAGCCGUGGACAUCAUGCUGAGUGGAAAUUUGUUAAUGGUCUACAUAAGAAGAUAAACUGAUCCAGUGCUGUUUAGUCACUGGAUCAGUUUUAAAUACUACAGGAAGGAAAAGCAGAAUCAGAAAGAGCCACUGCAAAGAGCUGCAACAUGUCAUCCAGGUCCAUCUGUUCAGCCCUUCAGCCCCUGUGUCCUGAACUCUUGUCUGCUCCAUUCUCCUAACCCAGACCCACUAAGCUCCAUCCUUCACCUUCUGGAUCUCUGGCUGGCUCUGCUGUGAAUCAUUCCCUGCAUCUCACCUGGCUAACUUUGCCCUACCGUUCCAACCCUGUCUCUGGCCUGUCUGUGUUCACACUUGGGUUCACCUGCUUAGCUGCCACGUGACAGUAUCAGUCCUGCUCAUGUGUUCAUAGAGUCAGUAUCAGUCCUCAUGUGUUCAUGGAUAGCAGUAUCAUCAUAAAGUGCAAUAUGACAUCAUACAGAAGGCGGAGCUUCACUUCAGGUUAAGCUAUUCAGAAUAAUGUAGUUGCUCUGGUCUGACCCUUCAAAUUAAAAGCCUCUUCAUCUGGAUUGUCUGAUUGAAAACACAUGACAGGGGCUGUUCCCAGUGCUCCCACUACUUUCAGUACAAAUAGCACUGCUCCCAGUGCUCCCACUACUUUCAGUACAAACAGCAGUGCU